GCUAGCGUAGCUUAAAUAAAGCAUAACAUUGAAGAUGUUAAGAUGAACCGUAAAAAGUUCCGCACGCA
rnacentral:tRNA from 1 species